CCGGGAGUCAGUUUAACACCUGAGUCACUGGAGAAAACACGUUGACACUUCCGAAAGAUACCUCUCAUUUUGUAUGCCGUGCGGUAAUUUUCAUAUAUACAAACAGAAAUUAUAGAUCAACAAUAAACCUAGGCCUAUAUUCAACCAAGUUAGCAUAAUACCGACCGACAGUGUUGCCGUACUAUUUUACGGAGAGGGCGUGUGGACCCGAGCAACUACUCACAGCUGUUUCAUAUUCCCUCAGCUAGGGUGGAAGUUCUCAGUCAGCGUAAAGUUGAUAUCGCAUAGCUAGAGACACGAGGGAUGCUGAAAUGCAAUGGGACACUGUUUCUAAAUCGGAGAACAUUAAUACUCGGUGGCCUUCCAUGUGACAUGAGAUGUGACAUCAACCAAGUGAAAUAGUUAAGGUAAAUCUCUAGGCUGUAAAAAUACCAAAAUAUAGACA